GACGAACGCUGGCGGCGUGCCUAAUACAUGCAAGUAGAACGCUGAAGGAGGAGCUUGCUUCUCUGGAUGAGUUGCGAACGGGUGAGUAACGCGUAGGUAACCUGCCUUGUAGCGGGGGAUAACUAUUGGAAACGAUAGCUAAUACCGCAUAAGAGUAGAUGUUGCAUGACAUUUGCUUAAAAGGUGCAAUUGCAUCACUACCAGAUGGAUCUGCGUUGUAUUAGCUAGUUUGUGAGGUAACGGCUCACCAAGGCAAGGAUACAUAGCCGACCUGAGAGGGUGACCGGCCACACUGGGACUGAGACACGGCCCAGACUCCUACGGGAGGCAGCAGUAGGGAAUCUUCGGCAAUGGACGGAAGUCUGACCGAGCAACGCCGCGAGAGUGAAGAAGGUUUUCGGAUCGUAAAGCUCUGUUGUAAGAGAAGAACGAGUGUGGGAGUGGAAAGUUCACACUGUGACGGUAUCUUACCAGAAAGGGACGGCUAACUACGUG
rnacentral:rRNA from 1 species